AGCUUUGCACAGUGGCAGUAUCGUAGUCAUCUGAGGCGUAGGUUUAUCUGGGGCACAAUUGUUGCUAAUUGAAAACUUUUCCCAAUACCCCGCCAUGACGAUUGGAAAUAUAGUCGGCACUGGCAAGUUUUCGCAGUCUCUACGGGGA
ensembl:snRNA U4 U4 spliceosomal RNA